rnacentral:rRNA from 1 species
CAGCCGCCACGGUAAUACGUAGGGUGCAAGCGUUAAUCGGAAUUACUGGGCGUAAAGCGUGCGCAGGCGGUUAUAUAAGACAGAUGUGAAAUCCCCGGGCUCAACCUGGGAACUGCAUUUGUGACUGUAUAGCUAGAGUACGGCAGAGGGGGAUGGAAUUCCGCGUGUAGCAGUGAAAUGCGUAGAUAUGCGGAGGAACACCGAUGGCGAAGGCAAUCCCCUGGGCCUGUACUGACGCUAAUGCACGAAAGCGUGGGGGGCAAACAGGAUUAGAUACCCCGGUAGUCCCUGUCUCUUAUAA